rnacentral:rRNA from 1 species
CCUACGGGUGGCUGCAGUGGGGAAUAUUGGGCAAUGGACGCAAGUCUGACCCAGCAACGCCGCGUGAAGGAAGAAGGCUUUCGGGUUGUAAACUUCUUUCAAGGGGGAAGAGCAGAUGACGGUACCUCUUGAAUAAGCCACGGCUAACUACGUGCCAGCAGCCGCGGUAAUACGUAGGUGGCAAGCGUUGUCCGGAUUUACUGGGUGUAAAGGGAGCGCAGCCGGAGAGAUAAGUCAGGUGUGAAAUCCACGGGCUCAACCCGUGAACUGCAUUUGAAACUGUGUCACUUGAGUGUCGGAGAGGUGAUCGGAAUUCCUUGUGUAGCGGUGAAAUGCGUAGAUAUAAGGAGGAACACCAGUGGCGAAGGCGGAUUACUGGACGAUAACUGACGGUGAGGCGCGAAAGCGUGGGGAGCAAACAGGAUUAGAUACCCUUGUAGUC